GUUCUUCCUCCUCUUUCUAAUCUUACCCAAAACAGAAAAAAACUAGAGAAGGAAAACUAUCACCUCUUCAUAUUACAAAGCAUUUUAACUUAAGUACAGCAGCUGUAUGAUUAUUUCAAGGAAAAGGAGGAAGAGGAAGAGGAGAGGAAGAAUUAAACAAAUAUUCAAGGCUUUGUCUAAAAGAUGUAAUAUUGUGGCUGUAGAGAUGCUCCAUACUGUGACAAACCUCCAGAGCCUCUUCCAAAGAAGAGCAGAAAAAUGACAUCUGCACCUAUUAUUUUGAGUGAGAUGUGGUGCAAUUUCUGGAAAUUUUCUCAUUAUCAGAUCUUUCUGCAGAUCUACAGGGAUGCAAAUCCAGUCUUCAAAGAUGCAACACUGACAAUAUCAUUGUGGUAUAGCAUACCAAUCAAGGCUCCAAAAGAGUGAAAGCAAAACAAUUUACUUUUUUCAACUUCAUUUGUUUUCAGUUUCACAUUUAUUGCCAGUUGCUGUGAGUGUACGAUGGAAAGUUUCAGGUAUGUCAGAACACCAGUUUAGCAAUCUUUCCUUGUUAUAAGAGACAUGAAGCUUAUUCCUCCAAUCUGGUUCUGUUUAAACUAAGCAAAAUAUCACAAUUUGUCUCCAGUGAGUAAUGGAUGUUUUGAAUUUAUUGUAAUUAAAGUCACUCUGCUUAAGCAUA